GCUACCGCGCUGCCGUAGGCCGCGGGAAUACGUGGGGUGGAAAGGUUAGGCGGAAUUACGGGUCGGAAAGCGAACUGAGGCGGUUGGAUAAGUUCGGAGUGAAAGCCCCGGGCUCAACCUGGGAAUUGCAUGUAGAACUGUCCAGUUAGAGUCUUGUAGGUGGGGGUAGAAGUUCAGGUGUAGCGGUGAAAUGCGUAGAGAUCUGGAGGAAUACCGGUGGCGAAGGCGGCCCCCUGGACAAAGACUGACGCUCAGGUGCGAAAGCGUGGGGAGCAAACAGGAUUAGAUACCCUAGUAGUC
rnacentral:rRNA from 1 species